UGUGAAUUUUCUUUGUUCUGUAGCCAAGUUCACAGCACGGGAGGUGGUUACCUGGCUUCCCAGAGUCCUUCAGGCCAGGUCAAUCCCGGGGGUUAUUGUCUAGUCAACAGAACAGUCUCUCAUUACUUGUUAGGGUCACUCCUGAAUCAUCGUGGCCAGGCUCUUCAAGGACCACAUAACAUUCAACUUUGAACCCAUUUUAUUCAUCAGAGUGACUCUCUUCCCUUGAAUGUGAUCAGUGUCAGGAAGUUAGGUUCGCAAAGUAAGAGUCUAUUUUUAUGGUGGAGGACAUUUAAGAAGUCAUCCAAAUGCCUGCAUAAUUCUUAAAAUUUCACAAGAGAACAAAUGGUCUCUCUGCGACCUAAGAAUCUUCUAUAACAUAAGAAUAAAUCCAUAACUACAUAAUUCUCCAUUCAAUAUUUUUAAGCGUUUUCUAGACACUUGUGGAAACCUGGUCCCAGUGGAAAGAGUGGCGUACGAUGUCCUCACUGAACUGGAGAAGACGUUUAGCCUGCCACUUCUGGAAGCCUUGUUCAGCAGGGCGAACCUGAAGGCCUGUCCUGAUUUAACUGAGGUUUACCAAAGCUUCCAAAAUGUGUCCUGUGGAUUUGUAGCUCUACCAGAAGAUGAAGUAAGAGAAUCAGAAGAAAUGCCCAGGCUACUACCUUAUGAUGGAGAAGUGACCAAUAAUCCUGAAGCUCCCCAAAUGACCAGUGAAGGAGAGUCAGAGGAGGUGCCUGGCCCACUACCAUGUGAACAAGAAGAGAGCAAAAAUGUGUGUUUGAAAAUGUGUGAUGGAGAAGAGUCCCAAGAAGCUUCAAUCUCAUCACCAAGAAAUGGGUUGGGUAAGAAGAUAAGGAUUUCCAGCCUUGAGCUGCAACGGUAUUAGGAGGUUGAAUCCAGAACUGUUUUUUUUCUGGAUGAAUUUUCCUCUGUGCAAACUUCACAGUGAAAGGAUCCAGGUAAUCCCAAGACUUUUUUUCACAUUUUCUAUACAUGGACCUUUGGGGAAGUGCAGAGAGAAAUCUUUAUCAAGUUCAUGUUUAACACAGUGGGUCUUAUUGUUUGGACAUAUUUGUUCACAUGUUCAUGUUGUAGUAGAAAUAUAUCAGGGAAAGACAAUGUCUUCUCUCCUUCAUACUCUCCAUAGAUAUUAAUACUAAAGAUUUGAUUUCAACCCAUACUCAUUCAUCAUCUUCCAUGGAGAAUAAGAGCAAAGUAUCGUUCCAUUGGUUAAUAGUUUGAUUAUUUUGUUGCAAACUUGGAAAGGCCUCAAAAGAAACAAGGUCUUAAUAUUUUAUUUACAUGAAGCUUACAGAUUGUCCACACUCAACCCAAACUAUAGUUUAUGACAGCUAUUUUCCAUCAUGUUCUGGAAUUAUAGAGUCUAUUUUCAAAGUAUUUUAACAAAUAAGAUCUUCUGUUACCUCACAAAAGAUGGAGGCGGGCAAACUGGGGUAAUCUCUACUUUGUAGAUGAGGAAGUGAAGGUCAGCUAUGUAUACAGACUUUUACAAAGUCAAAUUGUAGAAGAAGAGCAGGAAGAGUGAGUGUCUGUCUGCAGGUGAUGGGUCAGGGCAGGUCACACGGUCCAAGUUCAAGGAGGAGGCCAAAGGAGCCCGGUGAUUCCCAAGCAUGUGGACCGGAGCUGAGCUAGGAUACUUCCUAGGGAAAAGUUAUAAAAAGUAUCACUGGGGAAGCAGAAGACACAAAAGCAAAGACACAGGAGAGAAAGCCGUCCAGAUAGUCAAAAAGAUGCCCAUACAUUCAUGGCACAGAAGGAGAAAUGAACGGAGACGGUGUGUAGAUAGGAAACAAAACAGAAACAAUCUGUAGCACAUGGGGCAGCCCUCUCUAGUGGGUUUUCAGAUCAAGGUGUCCCCAGGUAUCAGAUUGAAUAUUUAUUUAUUGCUUAAUGAUAAUAUUAUUUAGCCGUAACCUUGGAAAGGCCUCAAAAGAAAUGUGGUUCUGAGCGCUCCUUGUCAGAAAGAAAGGUCAGCUGCUCUCAGACCCAGUUAAAGUUGGUGACAGAUAUUCUUCAGUAGGUUAGUGGAUUAUACUGUGGUUUGAGGUUUUUUCCAAAGCACUUGGGCAAAUACCAAAAAAAAAACCCCAAACCCACUGCCAUCAAGUCAAUUCUCAUGAUGACCCCAUGUGCUACAGAGUAGAACUGAGUUCUAUAGGGUUUUUUUGGCUGUAAUCUUCAUGCGAGCAGAUCCCCAGGCCCCAACCGGGUGGGGUUUGAACCACCAACCUUUCUGUUAGUAGCCAAGUGCAAACCAUUCGCAUCACUCAGGGUCCUUUUCUCCUUUUACCUUCAUAAAACCUUUGCACUUAACCAGGGAAACUGUUGUUAUCCCUUUUUAUAGAUAAGAAAGAAGAAGCACAAUAAAAGGAUACUUGUAUUUCCCUAAGACCAAAGUAGGAAGAAGGUGUCCUGAGCCUCUCCUGCAGAUAACGGUUGUGUGAGCCUUGUGGAAAGGUCACAGGCUUCCAGGGGAGUAGACCAGGGGCUGAUGCAGAGAGACUUUUUAUUUCACAAAUGUAGCAUGUUGGUAGGGAAGGGAAGAAAUCACAGAGAGACGGUGGGAUAAAGGUGAGCUGAGAGAAGAAAUGGAUACUGCUAUAUGGGAUUGGAGAGAUCUAGACAUGGAGCAGAGAAAAAGAGAUCAAGAUCACCACUGAGGCAAACAAAGGCUAGAAAAGUGAAGGCAGAGGAGAGGUCAGGGAGAGUGAAGUGCACAAAAACAAAGAUGCCCAAAUACUUCCCUAGGGCAGACACAGAGAUGUCUGGAGGCAGGUCUAUAGGUAGGAAACUGACAAGCAGGGAGAAAGGGAGUGAGGUAAACACGAUGGAAAAGAGGCAGAACAAACCUCCGGUGAACCUCAGGUCUGGUCCUUGGAGCAGACGUAUCUUUUCCCAAGGAGCAGUUCAUCGGCACUUUGGAAACCCUGGCUCAGCCCCAGCACGGUGAGUUCUGCUUCCGGGUCGCCCUCCCUGAACUGUCAUCUCCUUGUUUCUCUUCAGUGUCCUGUGAUCCUGAAGCUCCCCAAAUGACUAAGGAAGUACCUGAGGAGGUGCCUGACCUACUGCCAGCUGGGGAAAAAGGCUACUGUGAUUUCAGCUCCCUAUCAGCUAGUUGAAUCUUUGUUUUUCUCUCUUCAGGGAGGAAAAUCUCCCCCUUCUUCCCUCAUCUAACCCUGCUCCCUUUCGUAUGCCCAUACAGAGGAAAAGGGUCAAUAACAGAGAGAAUUAGGUGUGUGGGAAGGGAGUGAGAUGGAUGGAAUGUUCUCAGCCUCUGGUGACAAUGACUGGAGCCUUAACCUCUAAGACAGGUGAAUCCAAAGGGCCAGGACGUUCCCACCUAGGAGAUACUUGAGCCGCCUCUGUCUUCCUGUUUUUCUGAGUGUGGACUUCCCUGCUGUGGUUUCCCUGGAUCAUACGCUAAAACCUCUAAGAGAUUCCAUUGUGUUCUGCAGAAGGCGGCAAUGCCUGUUUAGAAAUGUGUGGUGAAGAAGA